ensembl:lncRNA
CCCCCCCAUUUAAGCACUGACUGCCAUAGGGAGAAGGAUCUUUUUCUGAAGAUUGCUCCUUUUGGAGUUUUUUCUGUGAGCCUAUGACGCAGGAUAAGUUGAGUAUCUGCUGCUUAGGAGUUGCCAUAUAAGUGAAUUCAGGAAACACUAAAAUCAUAAGUGUUUCAAAUGUGAGAUACUGCUUUGAAGAACAGCUUUGAGCUCUGAAGGAAGAGAAAUUCUUCCCCAUUGUUUUCAUCACCAGUUUGUCUAAAUCUUCCAGCAAACAUUACAGUUUGUGCGCUGACUUAAGCAUUGCUCAGUUGCUGGUUGACCAAGGCAUGAAUACUAAGUAUGGCAUUUACAGUCAAGUCUUCUUUCUGACACCAAGUGUGCAUCAUCAAUAGUAACACAGAACUACUUAUCAAGAAAGAUGAUCAUGCUUUUAUAAUUUUGAAUUCUGGCUAGGAGUGAAUCAAUAAAAACGUGCCAUGACUUAAAAGAAAAAAACAGUAUUCAAAUCAGUCUUUUGAUUAGCCAAGAAAUUUGAAUUUCUUAGAAUGUGUAAAGGAU